rnacentral:lncRNA from 1 species
GAUUGCUGUAUGUAGAAUUCUUGCCCCUUCUACAGAAUACACAGUGCUUUCAAGAUAACUUCACUGCACCAGUGAGAUAAAACUUCCUACUCUAGGACCUUGAAUGUUCAGAGAGGGCAGAUAUGGAAUCCAUGUCUAGAUGAUUUUACGUCCUUUAAACAAAUGAGUGAA